GAUUUUCUUGUUUUUUAUUUGUGGCAUCUUAUUGUAAGACCGUAACCUAUUUUGCCGUUUUCUCUAAGGAACACUGCAACAAGGACUGGUGUGGAUAGCGUGCUGCGCUGGUCUCGCCAACUGAAAAGAAUUCUGUGACAUUACGAGCCAACAAUGAAAACCUCAAUCCAUCCUGUCUCCACAUAUUAUCAAGUUUGUGCACUGUGGAGCUUGAAGCACUUCUCAGAAUUUCAGCACACUCGCAUUUAUUUCUUUUCCGACAGAAGAACAAUGCAAGUCUCACAUCUUGAUGAGGGUGGCGAUUUACCCUCUCACAUCUCGACGGUAAAACGUCGCAUCUGCGUACGUGUUCAGGGCCAAGAGCACGAGAACUGGCCGAAAGAAGGGAGCCGAUCCAACAAGAAUGCCGUCCGUUUUAUAUAUAUGUCAGCGCUAUCAUGCA